rnacentral:rRNA from 1 species
UACAGAGGGGGCAAGCGUUGUUCGGAAUUACUGGGCGUAAAGGGCGCGUAGGCGGCCGCCUAAGUCAGACGUGAAAUCCCUCGGCUCAACCGGGGAACUGCGUCUGAUACUGGGUGGCUUGAAUUCGGGAGAGGGAUGCGGAAUUCCAGGUGUAGCGGUGAAAUGCGUAGAUAUCUGGAGGAACACCGGUGGCGAAGGCGGCGUCCUGGACCAACACUGACACUGAUGAGCGAAAGCCAGGGGAGCAAACGGG